rnacentral:rRNA from 1 species
UUCCGGUUGAUCCUGCCGGACCCGACUGCUAUCAGAGUGAGAUUAAGCCAUGCGAGUUAACGUAGCAAUACGUGGCGCACGGCUCAGUAACACGUAGUCAACAUGCCCAGAGGACGUGGAUAACCUCGGGAAACUGAGUCUAAACCGCGAUAAGUGAGGAUUUCUGGAAUGGUUCCUGACUAAAAUCUAUAUGGCCUCUGGAUUGGACUGCGGCCGAUCAGGCUGUUGGUGAGGUAAUGGCCCACCAAACCUGUAACCGGUACGGGCUCUGAGAGGAGGAGCCCGGAGAUGGGCACUGAGACAAGGGCCCAGGCCCUAUGGGGCGCAGCAGGCGCGAAACCUCUGCAAUAGGCGAAAGCCUGACAGGGUUACUCUGAGUGACUUUCGCUAAGAAAGUCUUUUGGCACCUCUAAAAAGGGUGCAGAAUAAGGGGUGGGCAAGUCUGGUGUCAGCCGCCGCGGUAAUACCAGCACCCCGAGUGGUCGGGACGAUUAUUGGGCCUAAAGCAUCCGUAGCCGGUUCUGCAAGUCUUCCGUUAAAUCCAGCCGCUCAACGGAUGGGCCGCGGAGGAUACUACAGGACUAGGAGGCGGGAGAGGCAAGCGGUACUCAGUGGGUAGGGGUAAAAUCCUUUGAUCCAUUGAAGACCACCAGUGGCGAAGGCGGCUUGCCAGAACGCGCUCGACGGUGAGGGAUGAAAGCUGGGGGAGCAAACCGGAUUAGAUACCCGGGUAGUCCCAG